CAAUAGCGUAUAUUAAAGUUGUUGCAGUUAAAAAGCUCGUAGUUGGAUUUCUGGUGGGAGCGAUCGGUCUGGCGCUUAGCGCGAGUACUUGCAUCGUCUCCGGCCAUCCUUGGGGAGAGUCUGUCGGGCAUUAAGUUGUCGGGCAGAGGAUCCUCAUCGUUUACUGUGAAAAAAUUAGAGUGUUCAAAGCAGGCUUAUGCCGUUGAAUAUAUUAGCAUGGAAUAAUAAGAUAGGACUUUGGUACUAUUUUGUUGGUUUGCGCACCAAAGUAAUGAUUAAUAGGGACAGUUGGGGGUAUUCGUAUUCCGUUGUCAGAGGUGAAAUUCUUGGAUUUACGGAAGACGAACUACUGCGAAAGCAUUUACCAAGGAUGUUUUCAUUAA
rnacentral:rRNA from 1 species